rnacentral:rRNA from 1 species
UACGGGGGGGGCAAGCGUUGUUCGGAAUUACUGGGCGUAAAGGGCACGUAGGCGGCCAACUAAGUCAGACGUGAAAUCCCUCGGCUUAACCGGGGAACUGCGUCUGAUACUGGAUGGCUUGAGUUCGGGAGAGGGAUGCGGAAUUCCAGGUGUAGCGGUGAAAUGCGUAGAUAUCUGGAGGAACACCGGUGGCGAAGGCGGCAUCCUGGACCGACACUGACGCUGAGGAGCGAAAGCCAGGGGAGCAAACGGG